rnacentral:rRNA from 1 species
AGGGAAUCUUCCGCAAUGGACGAAAGUCUGACGGAGCAACGCCGCGUGAGUGAUGAAGGUUUUCGGAUCGUAAAACUCUGUUGUUAGGGAAGAACAAGUACCGUUCGAAUAGGGCGGUACCUUGACGGUACCUAACCAGAAAGCCACGGCUAACUACGUGCCAGCAGCCGCGGUAAUACGUAGGUGGCAAGCGUUGUCCGGAAUUAUUGGGCGUAAAGCGCGCGCAGGCGGUCUUUUAAGUCUGAUGUGAAAGCCCACGGCUCAACCGUGGAGGGUCAUUGGAAACUGGAAGACUUGAGUGCAGAAGAGGAGAGUGGAAUUCCACGUGUAGCGGUGAAAUGCGUAGAGAUGUGGAGGAACGCCAGUGGCGAAGGCGACCCUCUGGUCUGUAACUGACGCUGAGGCGCGAAAGCGUGGGGAGCAAAC